AGAGUUGACUCCUGCGUCAGAGCGAACGCUGGCGGCAGGCCUAACACGAUAGCAAGUCGAACGUAACUCUUCGGAGUUAGUGGCGGACGGGUGAGUAACACGUGGGAACGUGCCUUAGGUUCGGAAUAACUCAGGGAAACUUGUGCUAAUACCGAAUGUGCCCUUCGGGGGAAAGAUUUAUCGCCUUUAGAGCGGCCCGCGUCUGAUUAGCUAGUUGGUGAGGUAAAGGCUCACCAAGGCGACGAUCAGUAGCUGGUCUCCGAGAGGAUGAUCAGCCACAUUGGGACUGAGACACGGCCCAAACUCCUACGGGAGGCAGCAGUGGGGAAUCUUGCGCAAUGGGCGAAAGCCUGACGCAGCCAUGCCGCGUGAAUGAUGAAGGUCUUAGGAUUGUAAAAUUCUUUCACCGGGGACGAUAAUGACGGUACCCGGAGAAGAAGCCCCGGCUAACUUCGUG
rnacentral:rRNA from 1 species